ACUGUAAGUUAAUUACUUUAACACAAAUGGCAGUAUAUAGUGGGAACUUACACAUUUAAGAUAGCAAUAAAUUCUCUAGUGCAGUUUCUAAGAUACAUCAACCUUAUUAGUUGCUUAAAAUGUUUAAAUACAAUGUAGAAAGGCUUCUUAAACGUUACUCCUCUCACAUCCACACUGAUAGUUUUGUGAAAACCCCUUCGCUUUUCUUAUCCUACUGCACCCUUUUCUUUUUUAAAAAGUUAAAUUUAGAGUAAGUCAAUCAGAUACUUCAGGGGAAUUAAAGUAGCCAAUGAAUGUUUGUUGGAAAGAAAGCUGUACAGAAUAUGAGCCGUCCAUACUACACAUAAGAACUUUUUGGAUAAAUGCCAAAUACUAUGAAAUGAAUUCUAUUUACUAUAUAAUGUGAGCUUUAACUGCACAGGUUCAACAAAGGUGGGAACCAUGGUACACAGUCACCUAGAACUGCCUCACCUCUCCCCGGCCUUUUCAUUUGUGAGGUACUUGCAUGAUUUCAUAAUGAGCUUCUCCAAGCUCUUGUAAGACUAGAAGUUUACCCAACAUUUGUAACAUAACCCAUCUCUUAAAAUUUCAGGUUGAUAGAUCCACAGACUCAAGUGUCCAGAGCCAGUUUUGAACUUAACAGUGUCACACAGUUCGCUGCUCAUCAGGAAAACAAGAGGCUGGUUGGCUUUGUCAUUCGUGUUCCCGAGUCCACAGGAGAGGAGUCUUUAAGCACAUACAUUUUUGAAAGCAACUCAGAAGGCGAAAAGAUAUGUUAUGCUAUUAAUUUGGGAAAAGAAAUCAUUGAGGUUCAAAAGGAUCCAGAAGCACUGGCUCAACUAAUGCUGUCUAUACCACUAACCAAUGAUGGAAAGUAUGUACUGUUAAGUGAUCAACCAGAUGACAAUGACGGAAGCCCAAGUGAAAAUAGAGGUGCAGAAUCUGAAGCAUAACUCACUUGGGCCUGUGGGGAAGAGCACACAGGAAGGAGAGCUACCUCCUUAAGGGUUUUCAACUUCUCUGAUGCACAGGAACACUGACCUGGUUUCAGAAUGCUGAGCGUCUGUGGAACGUACCCCUCGAUGCCUUGCUACCGAGACUUGGGAGGGAAACAGUAAGAAAUGGGUGACAACAUUCCUACCCAUCUACAAGUGUUAUUUUAGGUGUUUGUGGUAAGUCCUUUCCUUAGACUGCAUUGUUCAGUGUUCAGAACAAAAGCUAUGGAACUACAUUGUUCACUUUGUUUGGAUGUCACCUCUUCAGUUUCCAAUACCCUUUUUUAAAAAUGGCAAAAGCCUAGGUUUAUACUUUGAUAAAUACUAAGUAUUUCUUAUUAAUAUAAUCUAUUUUUAUAUUUUACUUAAUGAAUUUUAAGUGCCUACCAUUCUGAAAAGCAUGUAUUCAAAAUCCAGCUGUCUCAUAAUUAACUGGAUCUUGUAGCAUUACCAUGUGCAUAGGACAGCACACUAGUAGAGGUACAGAUCUAGUUUUGGUAACUGUUACAGAUACCAUGCAAUAAAAAAGACUAGCAGGUGAACACCACAAAAGAUAUUUAACUUUACAACAGAACCAUACUGAACCAUCAUUCAUUCAAAAGUUUAAGGUACUCUGAACUGUUUUUAGUGGCUAUUUCCUGUGGACAGGGUGCAACUCUACUACUUCCUGUUUCUUCUGAGCCAGAACCUCCUCAAGGAAGGGACCAAUUAAUUUUAAAACUCACUUGAAGCACAGCUGGCUAUAGGGCUUGGUAUGAAGUUAUUUCCACCCUGAUUAUUUCUGGUUCCUGGAGUCUCAGCCCACUCUUCGAUUCCCUCCUAAUUAUGAAAUAAGAAUAAAGAUCAUGAAUUGGUACAGUUUGUUUAUUGUAACCAAGUUAAACAAGCUCUUUUUCUUUGUAAUAAUAACCUAGCAAUAAAAAUUAUCACUCUGUAUUUUUGUUUGUUGUGGUUAUUUUUCACAACAUCCCAGGAAGAAAAGUAAAGUCAGUUCUCUAGCUUUCACAGUUAAUUUCCAUUAAACCAGGGCACAGUGAAAUCAUAGCAGAGGAAACAACACUGUCAAAAAUGCCUCUAUUCAAUGAGUACAAUAUUUUAAUUCUAAUUAAAUAACUUUUUUGAAAAUUACUCAUUUAUUCACAUAUGCAUACA